rnacentral:rRNA from 1 species
GAUGAACGCUGGCGGCGCGCCUAACACAUGCAAGUCGAACGAUUAAAGCACCUUCGGGUGUGUAUAAAGUGGCGAACGGCUGAGUAACACGUGGGCAACCUGCCCCUUUCAUUGGGAUAGCCACGGGAAACCGUGGAUAAUACCGAAUACUUCGAGACUUCCGCAUGGAAGACUCGAGAAAGCUCCGGCGGAGAGGGAUGGGCCCGCGGCCUGUUAGCUUGUUGGUGGGGUAACGGCCUACCAAGGCAAUGAAGGGUAGCUGGGUUGAGAGACCGACCAGCCAGCUUGGGACUGAGAGACGGCCCAGACUCCUACGGGAGGCAGCAGUGGGGAAUCUUGCGCAAUGGGCGAAAGCCUGAUGCAGCGACGCCGCGUGCGGGAUGAAGGCCUUCGGGUUGUAAACCGCUUUCAGCAGGGACGAGGCGAAAGUGACGGUACCUGCAGAAGAAGCCCCGGCUAACUACGUG